UAGGCCUACGGGGGGCAGCAGUGGGGAAUAUUGCACAAUGGGGGAAACCCUGAUGCAGCGACGCCGCGUGAGUGAGGAAGUAUUUCGGUAUGUAAAGCUCUAUCAGCAGGGAAGAAAAUGACGGUACCUGACUAAGAAGCCCCGGCUAACUACGUGCCAGCAGCCGCGGUAAUACGUAGGGGGCAAGCGUUAUCCGGAUUUACUGGGUGUAAAGGGAGCGUAGACGGUUAAGUAAGUCUGGAGUGAAAGGCCGGGGCCCAACCCCGGGACUGCUCUGGAAACUAUUUAACUUGAGUGCAGGAGAG
rnacentral:rRNA from 1 species